GGGGGUUUAGCUCAGAUGGGAGAGUGCCUGCUUUGCACGCAGGAGGUCAUCGGUUCGAUCCCGUUAACCUCCA
rnacentral:tRNA from 1 species